rnacentral:rRNA from 1 species
AGUGAACGCUGGCGGUAGGCCUAACUUGCAAGUCGAACGGCAGCACAGUAAGAGCUUGCUCUUACGGGUGGCGAGUGGCGGACGGGUGAGGAAUACAUCGGAAUCUACUUUUUCGUGGGGGAUAACGUAGGGAAACUUACGCUAAUACCGCAUACGACCUACGGGUGAAAGCAGGGGAUCUUCGGACCUUGCGCGAUUGAAUGAGCCGAUGUCGGAUUAGCUAGUUGGCGGGGUAAAGGCCCACCAAGGCGACGAUCCGUAGCUGGUCUGAGAGGAUGAUCAGCCACACUGGAACUGAGACACGGUCCAGACUCCUACGGGAGGCAGCAGUGGGGAAUAUUGGACAAUGGGCGCAAGCCUGAUCCAGCCAUACCGCGUGGGUGAAGAAGGCCUUCGGGUUGUAAAGCCCUUUUGUUGGGAAAGAAAAGCAGCAGGUUAAUACCCCGCUGUUCUGACGGUACCCAAAGAAUAAGCACCGGCUAACUUCGUG